UAUAAAGUCUGUACAUCGUGUAAGCUACAUGUUGUGCUUUUCACCCAAACGCAGACUGAGCGGCCCCCCUAACCCGUCCUGAAACCCCGCUGCAGCUGCAGGUCUUGAGAGCCACCCCAGCUCUUCCCUCUGUUUGGCCUCACCACAUCAACAGACAUGAUCAUCAGACUGGGCAGGCUGACACCCGGAUACUUCCGCCUCCUCCAGAGGCAAGUGGCCGGUGAGGUGCAGACGCAGCCACAGGACCGCGCCGUCAACCAGAUAGCCAUGAUGCUGGCCAUCAUGGGCCUGAGCUUGUCCUACUACAGUGCCAGACAGAUGACGGAGAAGGUCCAGGUCCAGCCUGUGCCCUGAAGAGACUUCACUACUCUGAUUGUGGAGUUAACGGAUGAGCCAAUGAGAAGUGGGGGGGAGGGUGGGGGGGGGGGGCAGGUGCAGAGACGCAGCAGUGUCAUCCAGGACUGCACUUUUCUGACCUCGUAGUCAGUCACACUCAAGACACUGAAUAUCUGGGAUCCCUCACACACCAUGUGUUUUCUGUACUCGUUGUCAGGGCUUUGUGGGGGAUGGCUCACUUGGGUUGUGGAUAAGACUGCGGUUUUAUGGACUGGUUUGGUUGGGUGAUCAAAACCAGCUGACUGCCAACUGGGUCUGACCAUUAGUCAUUACAAAAGUACAUGCUUGCAAGAUGCUGUCUAUACUGUUCUGAGCUACAAAAAGGGAGGGGGAACUCUUGAAUAACUGUGAAUUUUGCCACAGCGCAACACUUGUCCAAAAGGAGUUAAAUAAAAGAACAGUAAUGCCUUUUUAAGGGAAAGGCUGACUGCAAUUGAGAUGUACCUUGUGAUGAAGUGAUGGCAGGCCCAGGACAGGGUUAAAGGCGAUUCAAAUUUAGCCCAAACCGUUUUUUGUUUCAGGUUUUCUGUAAUUCUUUGUUCCUUCUCGAGAGAACCUUGCAGAUCCUUGUGAACACAUUAAGAGCUGUAUUCACAAACAUACAGUAUAUACUUGUGAAAUGUAUCUGUCGGGUGUCAAAGAUUCAGUGAAUAGUUGCACAAAAGUGCAUUUUUGUUUU